CUUCCUGGUUUGUCAGAGCUG
rnacentral:misc_RNA from 1 species